GAUAUUAUAUCCUAGAAUGACCAUAUCAUCAUAAUUAUUGAUACUAAAAAAAGUAUGAACUUAGCCAGAUUCCUCUUCUUGACAUAAGAGAUAGAGUGCGCUUUUUUGUAUGGUUGCUUUCACUAAGGACAAAUCAAAAAGAAUCAAAAUAUCACCUCUUGAAUUGCUCUAUAACUACUUCUAGCCUCACGCACUACCUGCAGCUAUGGCCUCCGAUGGCAGCCUUGGUGUUUCGGUUUCCACAUCUCCUAAACAUGCAAACAGAGAUGCUGAGACCAUGAGGUCGAGUUCGCCAAAAGGCCAGUGUUUGUGCUCGCCCACGAUGCAUCAAGGCUCCUUUAGAUGUCGGCUUCAUCGUUCGACAUCAUCGGCAUGGAUGAAACGUUCAAAAUCAAUGCCUGCCAACAACCCUGUGGCUUCUCUUUCUCCCAAAGGAUCUCUUGGGUCUUCUUGAGGCCAUGGAGCAUGUGGAUAAAGCUGAAUACAUCUUUGUAAAUCAGAAAGUAGUUCGUUCAGGAAGGUGGGGAUUUUCAGCAUCUAUAUGUGGAAAGAAAGAUAUCCUGUGGACGGGAAAAGGUAAAAUAGAAGCAUGGCCUACCCUUGUAAUAUUAUUAGUGGGUUUGGGAUUUGUGUUUAGAUUAUCUCAUAGUCUUUGUUACUUGUCAACCUCCUUGUCUUCAAUUAUUGCAGCUCUUUACAAACUUUUGUUCAAACCCAAAUUCUUGUCUUGCUUUUUGUCUGUAAUUUUACCUUCCAUCUUGAUUUUGGUUUGAUUUAUUUUCCUUCAAAUUUAGACCCCAAAAUUAUGUCUAAUGCCUGCCCCCUAAUAAUAAUAAAGAACAAAAACAACACGAUGGUUGAUCAUUUAUUGCUUUGUACCAAAUUUAUCAAUGUUAGUGUUGUUUUUUUAAAUUAUUUUUGGUUUACGAUGUUUGCGAUUAACAUCUAUUUGAUCCUUGAAGUUUCAAAUGAAGAACCACUUUAAUCUCUCAAGUUUUGGAAUUUCUCCUAGAUUGUCGUUGAAUUAAUUUAGUCGUUAGUUGAUAGAUGGAAAAAUGAUGUGACAUAAUGAGUCAAUAAAUUUCUUGUUUUCUUUUUUCUGAGGAUCUUCUCUCCCCAUAACACGAGUAACGCGACAAAGAGCCUGCCCAUAGGGUUGAAUUGUUAAGUUCAUGGUCAUAAUCAUAAAAAUAGUUUUAAAGACUAUAGACUAUACUUGUAAUUUAGCUUGCAUAAAGGAUCUUUUUGACUUGUACCUUUGUGCUUUGUGUUUUAUAAUUAAGUUUUAAAAUAAUUCAAUUUUUUGUGUGUGCACGUGAGAAAAAACAAUCGGUGAUGUUUAUUCAUUCGAGAUGUUAGGGUCAACGAUUCAUUUACAAGCCAUAGUUAAUGAAAUGUUAGAUUUCUCAUUUUAUUCAAUAUUUUUUUUGAUGUUUCUAUGUUUUCGUAGGUUCGAUGUGAACAUGAAAAAUGAAUUGAUAUUUAAGAAAAAAGUCCACAUAAUUUAAAUAAGAAAUAUAACUCAACUCCAUUUACCACAGAUGUGCAAAAUAUUUAAAUGGAUAAAUUUAUAGACAACAUAUUUUUGUUUUAUUUUUCAAUGUAUUUUAAAGAAUAAUGACAUUUCAACCACCACUCGAUUUAGUAAGAUUUCAUUUAUUUGAGUGAACUUAUCUGAUGAACUAUGUUAUUAUAGAGGAAUAAGGUCCAAACAAAACUCUACAAAAAGAUCUAAUUGAUUUCUUGCAUGUUUUGUUUGAAAGUGAUUUUAAAAUUGUUAAAAUCACGUGUCGUUUAAUAAAUUCAAAAACAUAUUUUAAAUUACUUAGUAUAUUUUAAAGUACGUUGUUCAUCUCAUCGUAACUAAUUUAAAAUUAUUAGGAAAGUAUACUCUUAAGUGGUUUUAAUAACUUGAAAGUCAAUGUUCUAACUCCCACACUAAAAUAAAUAGUAAUUAUUGAUAUCAAAUUUUGACCAAACAAAUGUGCAUGUUAAUUUACGGUUAUAACAAUAAGUGCGUAUUUUAAAAAAAAGACGACUUGCCUACAAGCAAAGAGAAACGUGUACGUCCUUAUAAUAUAAGUGACAAUCUAAUGCAAGUCAUAACGUUAGAAAACAUCGAAAAUAUUUAGAUAUUUCAUAAAAUACUCACUUGACUAUAUUUAUGUUAUGUUUUGCCAUAUUUACAGAUUCUAUCACUCUCAUAUUUCUUGUCUGAUCAUAUUUUUCUUAGAUCAAGGUCAGUCGAUCUAACAUUCAUAUAUAAUACCUUUCAAACUAAGUUUAUAUUUAGCUCGUCAAUCAUGACCCAUCAUUGAUGGAUUCGUUCCAACCUAGUCGAAGCCGACCAUACCCAUCUUUUUCUCGAUUCCACUAUUUUCUUCUUCCCUUAUUAUUUGCAAACCCUUUUAUCUUUGAUUUUAGAAUCCAUCAACAACAAUAACAAAAACAUUUGUCGUUUUUUUCUCCAUUUCUAGAGUCUGCUUCGUUGAAAAGAAAAUUGCAAUCACGUUGAAAAACAAACAAUAACUAAAAGCCAAUGAACAAAAUAAAAAACAAAACUAAGAAACGGAACUUCAAGGCCACGACAUAGCCUUCCAACUGGGCCUCCGUCUGCUUCCAUCUCCCGUCGCUUUCGUAUGCGUGUCCGAGUCAACGAGCCGCCAACUCAGUCAAACUCGCGUUUUUUGACUCGUCCAAAAUCCACCCCUCAAUUUCCCAGAAAAUUCAGAUUCACCCCAAUUCCUUUCCCCAUAUAAAUACCCUAAUCUUCAAAUCCCCCAUUCCAAACUUCAACUUCGAUUUCAAUAGAGGAGAAAUAUUUUUUUUUCUAAAUUUUCGGCAAUUUUUCUAGUCGAUUCACAAAACAUGAGUUCGUUGAAGCUCACUGCCGUUCCGUUCGUCGGAUUCUUGUUCUUGAUUAUUCUUCAAUUGGCUCACGGCCACUCCCACGAUAUUUCACCGGCGGAAGGUCCUUCUAACGACGGAGCUGCAAUUGACCAAGGGAUUGCGUACGUUCUUCUUCUGCUUGCUCUCGCCAUUACCUACAUCAUCCAUUGACAACUUUUGUAUUAAUCAAAUGAUUUUGGGUUCGAUAUGUAGUAUUUUUUUUUUUUUUGUAGUUUUUUCUCCCUUGAUUGGUGAAGAAAUUGCGUUGGAAAUUUGAAAUUCAUUAUUCUUUUUUUUUUCCUUA